UUUGGUCAUGAUACACACUUAUCUCUUUCUGCAUAUGUACAUCUCUUAUAACCUGGUAUUAUCUCUUUGCUUUCUGCAUGAAAGUGUUUGCAUCAGAGCUGUGAUGGUUGCUAGGGCAACAAGAUUACAUGUAAUUAUAAAUACAGACUGUUUCUUAUAAUAACUGUAUUCCCUAUCUCCUCACAGAGACCUCUGCUGCCUGUUGGGUUCUACUGGUCAUUCUAUGUCUGAUUGUUUCUGCUGCACUUGGAUGGUUCUGGUGGAAAUACAGACAGUUUCCUUGGAGUUCAAUCAUGGCCAAGGCACCAGAACAGACUAUAUCAGUAUCUUCCAAGACGAGGAGACAUGACAAGGUUGAGGAAGGUGAAGAUGACUCAUUGGCUGCAACUGUCCAAACCAGG